rnacentral:lncRNA from 1 species
GGUAGAUAAUACUUUUCUUUUAAUCUUUGGGAAAUAUUCAAUUUUCAAUUCAUUUUUUUUCAUCAAAAUGAUGAUUUCCUUUUUCGUCUAUGAACAAACUUUUUAAAUUGUAGUGGCAUGGUCGGUCAAUUGAUAAUUUGUAUGGCUUAUUACAGGUAAAGCAGUAAUUUCUAUUUGACAGUUGCGUGUAUUCUGGGUGUGUGGAAUAUCUUAAUUUUAUGGGGAACAUCCUGUCCAUGUGUAAUACUUAAAAUAUAUUCCAACAGAUGACAUUACACAAUUUUUCUUCUGUUAAAU